AGAGUUUGAUCCUGGCUCAGAUUGAACGCUGGCGGCAGGCUUAACACAUGCAAGUCGAGCAGAGUGAUUGUGCUUGCACAAUCACUUAGCGGCGGACGGGUGAGUAAUGCUUAGGAAUCUGCCAUUUAGUGGGGGACAACAUUCCGAAAGGAAUGCUAAUACCGCAUACGUCCUACGGGAGAAAGCAGGGGAUCUUCGGACCUUGCGCUAAAUGAUGAGCCUAAGUCGGAUUAGCUAGUUGGUGGGGUAAAGGCCUACCAAGGCGACGAUCUGUAGCGGGUCUGAGAGGAUGAUCCGCCACACUGGGACUGAGACACGGCCCAGACUCCUACGGGAGGCAGCAGCGGGGAAUAUUGGACAAUGGGCGGAAGCCUGAUCCAGCCAUGCCGCGUGUGUGAAGAAGGCCUUUUGGUUGUAAAGCACUUUAAGCGAGGAGGAGGCUACCUAGAUUAAUACUCUAGGAUAGUGGACGUUACUCACAGAAUAAGCACCGGCUAACUCUGUGCCAGCAGCCGCGGUAAUACAGAGGGUGCGAGCGUUAAUCGGAUUUACUGGGCGUAAAGCGUGCGUAGGCGGCUGAUUAAGUCGGAUGUGAAAUCCCUGAGCUUAACUUAGGAAUUGCAUUCGAUACUGGUCAGCUAGAGUAUGGGAGAGGAUGGUAGAAUUCCAGGUGUAGCGGUGAAAUGCGUAGAGAUCUGGAGGAAUACCGAUGGCGAAGGCAGCCAUCUGGCCUAAUACUGACGCUGAGGUACGAAAGCAUGGGGAGCAA
rnacentral:rRNA from 1 species